UGUAUGCGUGUGUUGGGAUUGGGCAAGACCAGAAAUGGUAUCGCGAUGAGCGUGGUAGCAUGAAAGUGUUUCCUCGGCAAAAAGUGUUUUUCCGCGAGUAAUCUGCAUCGGUGGGAAAUGUGCUUGGAGCCUGAUUCUUAUCUAUUAUCUUUAAUCAUCGAGUAGGCGCAGUGGUGAAAAGGUGUGAAAGAGUGUGAAGAGUUUAGGUGGUGCAAAUUGCAAUCGUAGCGGCUACAGUCAGUGGAAAAAAUAGUGGUUUACAGCUCCCGAAGAUAUAUUGUCCCAUCCCUUCGCGAAAUAGCUUGCUCGACCAUCCCGCGGUAUCGUUGUCCCAAACCUCAUCAACCAAAACGGGAAACUAGAGUGUGGCCGCCGAUCGAUCGAUCGAACAAGUCUCAGUGAGUGCUGGCCGCAUUUGCUGCAGUGCGUCCAGUGGAAUAGCAGAUUGGAAAACCGGAGACUUCACGGUGUGCUGGUUUCCGCGGAAAACAUCGAACACGGCCGAAAAGAUAGCGACAGAUUAGAGGACAAACAGACGAACAUACCGACACGCACACAUACCACCACAUAUACGGUGUACAUUCCCUUACAGGACGUGUGUAGAGGGAGCCACCGACGAUAAGAAGCGGUCAAAAUGACGAAGGACAGAUUAGCAGCCCUGCAAGCGGCACAGAGCGAUGAUGAGGACAUGCCCGAAGAUGUGGCUGUCCCGGUGGAGGGCAGCUUCAUGGAAGAUUUCUUCAAAGAGGUGGAAGAGAUACGGAUGAUGAUCGACAAGAUUCAGGCUAAUGUCGAAGAAGUGAAGAAAAAACACAGUGCCAUCCUAUCGGCCCCACAGUCGGACGAGAAAACUAAACAAGAACUCGAAGACCUAAUGGCUGAUAUCAAAAAAACUGCCAACAGAGUAAGAGGGAAGCUUAAGGGUAUCGAGCAAAACAUUGAACAGGAGGAGCAGCAAAGCAAGUCGAAUGCUGACCUGAGGAUACGAAAAACGCAACAUUCGGCUCUGUCGCGCAAGUUUGUCGAGGUCAUGACGGAGUACAACCGGACCCAGACGGACUACCGAGAGCGUUGCAAAGGAAGAAUACAACGACAAUUGGAAAUUACGGGUAGAGCUACAACUAACGAAGAACUGGAGGAAAUGUUAGAGCAAGGAAACUCAGCCGUCUUCACGCAGGGGAUCAUCAUGGAGACUCAGCAAGCCAAGCAAACGUUGGCAGAUAUCGAAGCUCGACAUGCGGAUAUUAUAAAAUUGGAAAAUUCAAUUAGGGAACUGCAUGAUAUGUUCAUGGAUAUGGCUAUGUUGGUUGAGAGUCAGGGUGAAAUGAUUGAUCGUAUAGAAUAUCACGUCGAACAUGCAAUGGAUUAUGUUCAAACAGCGACACAAGACACAAAGAAAGCGCUUAAAUAUCAAAGCAAAGCCCGCCGGAAGAAGAUCAUUAUUCUGGUAUGUCUAACCAUUCUACUGAUCGUGGUUGCAUCAACCAUCGCAGGCUACUUUGGUUUCUAAGCAAUCUUGCCUUGGCAGCGGAGUAGUAGUAUCAUGCAAGCGCAACAAUCCAAUGCGCCCACUGAAGGGUUUUGCGCAAUGAAAACGAACGGUAUUUCCAUACUCGGUUGUGCAAGUACACUGGUAGAGACACCACCGCUUCUUAAAAUAUGCAGCUCUGCAGAUACACAGGCCUCCUGGUACAGUUGGUAUCCUGGGACAGCACAGCUUAAUUGGGUGCAAACGUACAUGGCUGUUAAACGUAUUAAAAUUGACCUUAUAAUAUGAACCGCUACAAUCACUACAAUACAAACAGCAUAAAAACUAUCACAUUCCAGACUCUGCAUACUCUGGUGGGAACUCAAUAUUUUAAAAAUGUAAACUCAUUCAUUGAAUUCACAUUGGCAAUGCUAGCAUAGGUUCCAACGUUUGUCCCGCGUUUGUAAACUCUUAACAGUUAAAGCAAAAACAUAAUCAUCAUGGUACAUAAAGGUGGCGUUUCUCGACUCUUGUCUAAAGAAUGAGAUAAAAUGUUGUUUCCUCUGAUAGGUGGUGUUUAUGUUGUUUUGCUCAUGUGCUCUCGGUCAUCCUGGGGAUUCACAGUACUAGACUCUCGAAAAUUAGCACAAAAGUCAGCAGUACAUUUUUAGCAGUUUAUAUGUUUAUUUACGACAAAAUCGUGUCAAAUAGGCCUAGAGUAGCCAAAUCUACAGAGGAUGUUUUGCAUAGAGAUAUCUCUUUUAAAAAAAAGUUUGUCUGGACUUAUAUUUUUUGAUGUAUCCUUCAAUUUACGUUAAAGUGUCGCCAUACUUGCACAUACUGCUGUGCGCAAUUAUUCUUGAUAAAUUACAGAACGUUACUUGCGUGUUACACCAGAACCAAGAGAAAACAAAAUCGCGAUAUUACCGUGUUCAACAUGCCAUACACAACCAUCAAUCCAUCCAGCAGCAGCAGCAGCAGCAGCAGUGGCGGUUCAGAAGCCGAACGUUCACCACACGUUCACAUUGACGUUUGCUACUGACGAGUUCAAUCGCAUUCAUCGGACAGGCAGGCAGGCAGGCAGGCAGGCCGGACCCAUAGCAAGUAACGUCCGAUGCUCGUUCGACAACUUAAACAACAGCAUUCAGAACAGCAAGCACAAUAAUGGUCGACUGAACGCCGCAUCCCAUCGUGCCGCAUGUGUUGUGAGCUCGGUUAUUGUCGCUUGAUAGUGCUCUGCAAUGUACCAUUUGGUUGCCUUUUUGUUUGGGGAGUUCUGGUGUAGCUACAUCGGCAUGGCUUGGUAACAACAAAAUAACAACACAAAGAAAGAGAGAGAGAGAGAGA